GCUCUCUGAACUUAGAAGAAAAGUGGUGCCAUUGGAAUGAAACAGGAAAGAAGAAUAUGGUCGAUGUGGGGCGCAUCCCGUGCCUUACUUGUGUUACGCUCAUUCUUAACUACUCUUCAGAAUUCUGAAACUCAUUGGUCAAAUCUAGCGCAUAAGAGUCUUUGUGUUAGUCGGAUUCCUCAUGAAAAGUAUUGUUUGCUGGGAUUUCCGCCUUA
rnacentral:lncRNA from 1 species